AGGGAAGUAGCUCAAUGGUAGAGCCCCGGAUUUUGAUUCCGGCGGUUGCUGGUUCAAGUCCAGCCUUCCCUGCCA
rnacentral:tRNA from 1 species